rnacentral:rRNA from 1 species
CCUACGGGAGGCAGCAGUGGGGAAUCUUGGACAAUGGGCGCAACCCUGAUGCAGCAACGCCGCGUGAGGAUGACGCAUUUCGGUGUGUAAACUCCUUUUAUCAGAGAAGAAAAUGACGGUAUCUGAUGAAUAAGCUCCGGCUAACUCCGUGCCAGCAGCCGCGGUAAU